rnacentral:rRNA from 1 species
UACGUAGGGGGCAAGCGUUGUCCGGAUUUAUUGGGCGUAAAGAGCGUGUAGGCGGCCAGGUGGGUCAGCUGUGAAAACUCGAGGCUCAACCUCGAGAUGUCGGCUGAAACCAUCUGGCUAGAGUCCGGAAGAGGAGAAUGGAAUUCCCGGUGUAGCGGUGAAAUGCGCAGAUAUCGGGAAGAACACCCGUGGCGAAGGCGGUUCUCUGGGACGGUACUGACGCUGAGACGCGAAAGCGUGGGGAGCGAACAGG